ensembl:lncRNA
CUUCUCUGCUCGUUUACACAAACCGGUCACAUUCGCUGUGAGUGUAGCGGGCGGAUGAACAGUCUGCGGGAGAGCGAGAGAGGCGACUUAAACCUACCAAGUAGGCAUCGUUCUUCAUUGGCUUUAGCCUGUCUGUGUGCUUGUAUCUUUUGAUGGUUACAACUUCAAGGGAUUAUUAUCGAACGACACGUUUCCCUGAAAUGAAACUAGUUGAUGAACGUGGUACCUUCAGGCAUUUGGAGAUUGCUCCCAAGGAAGAACCAGACUUGUGCAGGUUUAUCUGAGGUCUUGGCUGAUAUCUUUUCAUUUUCCCGUGAUGUCAAGCAAAGAGGCACUGAGUUUGAAGACCUUAUUUUGGCUGAAGCACGGAAAGUCACUAAAGGAGAAGAACAACCACCAGCCAAAACCUCCAGACCUGUUCUCUGGCUACCGCAACAAGAUCGGCAAGAAGAAAGGAGACAAAGUCAUCUGUCAGAGCAGAGAUUAUUCGCUACAUUUAAGGAUCUUCUGAUGAAAAUGAAGUUGAUUGCUUGGAUUUUUAGGAGAAUCCAUGCAAAAGACUAAGGCUCAAGCAGUUAGCAAUGACAGUGCUGGCUGUGCCUGCCACCAGUGCCCCAGCAGAGAGAGCGUUUCAUCAAUGCUCCCUCAUCAUGCCAGGCCCAAUGCAAGAAUGCUGACAAACUUGAUCUUUCUGAAUGUGUAAAUAUAACACUUUAGUAGUGCAGAUGUCAGUAAUUUUGGUUUGCAUUCAUACUUGUCAUUUAUCUUCCCACACCUACAUAUUUUCUGCUUGAGUGACACGAUGAAGUGAAAUAUAGACCAUGUCUG